GACGAACGCUGGCGGCGUGCUUAACACAUGCAAGUCGAACGGGGUCCAGUCUGUAGCAAUACAGAGGAAGACCUAGUGGCGAACGGGUGAGGAACACGUGAGGAAUCUGUCCCGAACUCUGGGAUAACAGUUGGAAACGACUGCUAAUACCGGAUGCCGUCAUUGGAUCGCAUGAUUCGAUGACGAAAGAAUUUCGGUUCGGGAGGAUCUCGCGGCCUAUCAGCUUGUUGGUGGGGUAAUGGCCUACCAAGGCAUCGACGGGUAGCUGGUCUGAGAGGAUGAUCAGCCGCACUGGGACUGAGACACGGCCUAGACUCCUACGGGAGGCAGCAGUGGGGAAUCUUGCGCAAUGGGCGAAAGCCUGACGCAGCAACGCCGCGUGCGGGAAGAAGGCCUUCGGGUCGUAAACCGCUUUCAGCAGGAACGAAAAUGACGGUACCUGCAGAAGAAGGUGCGGCCAACUACGUGCCAGCAGCCGCGGUAA
rnacentral:rRNA from 1 species